rnacentral:lncRNA from 1 species
CGAUAACCCCGCCCACCGUUACGUCAUCGCGUGGCCCCGCCCCCCGCCACGCGUUCCCGCGGUUCCGGCCCGAGCCGCCAUGGCCGAGGUCGCGCCCCCCCCUCAGGAGCCGCCGGGGGCCGAGAGCGACCCCAGAGGGGGGCUGGGCAGGCUGUCCCCCCCCGGCUGGGCCUGGCGCUGGCUCGGGGCCUUGGGGCAGUUUUGGGGCAGUUUUAGGGUGGAUUUUGGGGUGGAUUUUGGGUGGAUUUGGGGCAGUUUUGGGGCCGGGGUUUUAUGGGUGAAUUUGUGGGAUUUUUGGGGUGAAUUUUGUGAAUUUGGGGUCUCCCCCAGGCUGUCCCCCCCCGGCUGGGCCUGGUGCUGGCUCGGGGCCUUGGGGCAGUUUUAGGGUGGAUUUUGGGGGAAUUUGGGGCAGUUUUGGGGCAGUUUUGGGGUGUAGGAUUCCCGGGUGUAUUUGGGGUUUUUAGGGGGGAAUUUUGGGGUAAAUUUCUGGGAUUUUGGGUCCCCCCCAGGCUGUCCCCCCCGGCUGGGCCUG